AUGGGGUGCAUUGAUAAGUGCAGAUCAGGACUUGACAGAUCUAUUUACGGUAAUCCCCCUGGAGGCGGUGGAAUUAGCUUCGUAAUGAAGCUCAAAGAGAUCGUUGAAAAACAUGAGCUCCCCAGACCCGUCUGCCUGAGAAUAAGGAAGCUUGUCUGUAAGAUGGUCAUAUCUAUGAUGAAUCCCAAAGGCAGUUAUGUCAAUGAUGGGCUGACGAGCCUGAUGGCUGCACUGUCCAGUGCUUCAGAUGACAUGUUUAUUCUUGAUGGCUACAUGGUUUUCAGACCAAGGCCUUUUAGAAGUCUUGCUUCCCUCGUGGAAGAAGCGCAGGUGCUUGUGGACAGAAACAAAGAGCUUUUCCAGAGCCAAAGUCAUGCUUCAAGCUAG
rnacentral:rRNA from 1 species